UACAGAGGGGGCAAGCGUUAUUCGGAAUUAUUGGGCGUAAAGGGCGCGUAGGCGGCUUGGCAAGUGGAUGGUGAAAUCCCUCGGCUUAACCGAGGAACUGCCGUCCAAACUGCUUCGCUUGAGACCGGGAGAGGUGAGUGGAAUUCCCAGUGUAGCGGUGAAAUGCGUAGAUAUUGGGAGGAACACCAGUGGCGAAGGCGGCUCACUGGACCGGUACUGACGCUGAUGCGCGAAAGCGUGGGUAGCAAACGGG
rnacentral:rRNA from 1 species